GAUGAAGAACGCAGUGAAAUGCGAUAAGUAAUGCGAAUUGCAGAAUCCGUGAGUCAUCGAAUCUUUGAACGCACAUUGCAUCCUCUGGUAUUCCGGAGGGCAUGCCUGUUCGAGCGUCAUUAUCACCCCUCAAGCCCGGCUUGUUGUUGGAUGCAGCGCUUAUCCCGCUCCUCCCAAAGAUAAUGACGGCGUCUGCGACGACUCCUGUACACUGAGCUUUCGGGCACGUACACGGCUAGAAGUCCAGACCCGGUCGCCGUCCCCCCCGCGGGGACACCCAUUACCACAAGGUUGACCUCGGAUCAGGUAGGAAUACCCGCUGAACUUAAGCAUAUCAAUAAGCGGAGGA
rnacentral:misc_RNA from 1 species